GAGAGUCUUUUGCCCCCCUCUUCCUCUCUCUCUCUCUCCCAUCUGUCUUGUUGAUCCAACCAAUUCAACGUACGCUCGUCCACCAUUCCCCCAAAUCUUUAUAUCAUUUGACGUCCCAAAUCUUUAUAUCAUUUGACGUCAUUCUUCUUUCUUUCAUUAUGAGUCCGAGAGAAGGGAGGAGGCCACGGAUCGACCGGUGGUUUUGAAGGGUGAUGAGAUUGGAGAAGGAGCGGCAGCGGCUGUGGGGCCUUCUCGAGGAAGAAUCGGAGGAGGAACGAUAGGGGUUUGAUUGAUGUUAGGUGAAGGCGUCGGCGUCGACGUGGGCUGGGAGGCGAAUCAUCAGCUUCUCAUCGAUGGAGACGUGGUGGUUGCCGAGGAAUGCCACUUCUGAUGCUCCGCUUCCUAAUUCUACUCGACUGUCCUCUCAGAUGGAAUGGCAGAUCCGGCCAAUUAUGGGAACCCCGACCGUGACAUACAACAAGGCAUGUGCUAUGGUUUAUAUGAAAAAAUGGGUGUUGAUUGGCUUGCACCUCCCGC